GAGUCGGACCUGCCCAGUGAAUUAAGUUUUCAACGGCCGCGGUACUCUGACCGUGCAAAGGUAGCAUAAUCAUUUGCCCUAUAAUUGAGGGCUAGUAUGAAUGGUUUGACGUGAGCAAAACUGUCUCUACAUAAAUUUUUAGAAUUUGAUUUUUAGGUGAAGAGACCUAAAUUUUAUUGAUAGACAAGAAGACCCUAUUGAGCUUUAAAAAAACAAAUAGAGAAUAAUCUAUAAACUUAAAUAUUAAUCUAUUUUAGAUUUUGGUUGGGGCGACUAAGGAACAAACAGAGCUUCUUUACUACUUUCAUACCUACAGGUUUUGAUCCAGAAAUUCUGAUUAAUGGAAUUAGUUACCAUAGGGAUAACAGCAUAAUUUUCUUUGAGAGUCCUCAUCGAAAAGAAAGUUUGUGACCUCGAUGUUGGACUAGAAUAUCCUAAAGAUGCAGCAGUCUUUAAGGGUUNGUC
rnacentral:rRNA from 1 species